rnacentral:lncRNA from 1 species
UUUUCUCCCUGAAGACGGCCGCUGGCCUAGGUACUGAGGAAGAGAACGCCCCUAGCUCCACUUGUCCCUAGCCGGAUCGGCAGCCAAGCCAUGGCUCAUGAGCCAGCAGAGAACGCGCCGGUGUGACCUUAUGCCAAGAAGCAACACAGCAAGAUGACCAGAGGAUGUACCACUUCAAGAUGGAAAUGGCUAUGUUCAAAGAUAUUUUAGAGAUGUACAAGGAAGAUUUUGGGAUUCUCGUUGCAUCAAUAUAUGCGAUCUGCAGUAGCAAUGUCCAAAACUUAACGGGCACUUUCAUGUAGAGAGAGCCUUCCUUAUUACAGCACUUAUUCGCAAGAUUUCAGCGUACUGAAAUCUUUGAUGAACAUGAACAUUGCCCUAAUUAAUUAUGUAUGACAUUACUAUACAGUAUUAUGUACUUAUAAGCUUUGUUUAUCAAUGUCUUGUAUUAAUGUAAUUUUUUUUUGUUUUCGGUACAAUUAACUUAUGUACCUAUUUGUGAUUUGUACCCAAUAAUCAUGUGCAAGGGGUCAUGGUAUGGUCUCGUAACCGAGGGACCCUCUUCUGUGUAUCCCUUUUUGUUGUAAUCAUGCUUUGCAAUAUAAAUGUUUGAAUAAAAAGGGGCAUCAAGAAAUUGAAAGAUUA